GACGAACGCUGGCGGCGUGCUUAACACAUGCAAGUCGAACGGUAAGGCCCUUCGGGGUACACGAGUGGCGAACGGGUGAGUAACACGUGGGUGAUCUGCCCUGCACUUCGGGAUAAGCCUGGGAAACUGGGUCUAAUACCGGAUAGGACUCCGGACUGCAUGGUCUGGGGUGGAAAGCUUUUGCGGUGUGGGAUGGGCCCGCGGCCUAUCAGCUUGUUGGUGGGGUGAUGGCCUACCAAGGCGACGACGGGUAGGCGGCCUGAGAGGGUGACCAGCGACACAGGGAGUGGGAUACGGCCCAGACGUCUACGGGGGGGAGCAGUGGGGAAUAUUGCACAAUGCGCGCAAGCCUGAUGCAGCGACGCCGCGUGAGGGAUGACGGCCUUCGGGUUGUAAACCUCUUUCAGCACCGACGAGGCGCAAGUGACGGUAGGUGCAGAAGAAGGACCGGCCAACUACGUGCCAGCCGCCGCCGUAA
rnacentral:rRNA from 1 species